GUAUGCUGUUUUCUCUUUAGAUUAUAUAAAUCUUUCAUCUUUUACUAAAGAUUUCCAUGAAGAGGAACAUUGAGUUUUAACAAUAUGGACUCUAGCAGUUCCAGAAA